GACGAACGCUGGCGGCGUGCUUAACACAUGCAAGUCGAACGGAAAGGCCCUGCUCUUGUGGGGUGCUCGAGUGGCGAACGGGUGAGUAACACGUGAGUAACCUGCCCUUGACUUUGGGGUAACUUCAGGAAACUGGGGAUAAUACAGGAUAGGAGCUCCUGCUGCAUGGGGGGGGAUGGAAAGAUUCGGCGGUGGGGGAUGGACUCGAGGCUUAUCAGCUGGAUGGUCGGGUAGUGGCUGACCAAGGCUUCGACGGGUAGCCGGCCUGAGAGGUUGACCGGCCACCUUGCUCCUACGGUACGCCCCAGUCGCCUACGGGACGCAGCAGGGGGGAAUCUUGCACAGUGGGCCGACGCCUGUUGUAGCGGCGCCCCGUUCGUGAUGAUGGCCUUCGGGUUGUGAACCGCUUUCUACUUUGCCGAAGCGUUAGUGACGGUAAUGAGUAAAGAAGCACCGGCUAACUACGUG
rnacentral:rRNA from 1 species